AUUGAACGCUGGCGGCAUGCUUUACACAUGCAAGUCGAACGGUAACAGGCCUUCGGGUGCUGACGAGUGGCGAACGGGUGAGUAAUGCAUCGGAACGUACCCAGAGGUGGGGGAUAACGCAGCGAAAGCUGUGCUAAUACUGCAUGUGAUCUGAGGAUGAAAGCGGGGGACCGAGCAGCAAUGUUUGGCCUCGCGCCUUUGGAGCGGCCGAUGUCGGAUUAGCUAGUUGGUGGGAUAAAGGCCUACCAAGGCGACGAUCCGUAGCUGGUCUGAGAGGACGACCAGCCACACUGGGACUGAGACACGGCCCAGACUCCUACGGGAGGCAGCAGUGGGGAAUUUUGGACAAAGGGCGCAAGCCUGAUCCAGCAAUGCCGCGUGCGGGAAGAAGGCCUUCGGGUUGUAAACCGCUUUUGGCAGGAACGAAACGGUGUCCGCUAAUACCGGGCGCUAAUGACGGUACCUGCAGAAUAAGCACCGGCUAACUACGUG
rnacentral:rRNA from 1 species